rnacentral:rRNA from 1 species
AGUGAACGCUGGCGGUAGGCCUAACACAUGCAAGUCGAACGGCAGCACAGUAAGAGCUUGCUCUUACGGGUGGCGAGUGGCGGACGGGUGAGGAAUACAUCGGAAUCUACUUUUUCGUGGGGGAUAACGUAGGGAAACUUACGCUAAUACCGCAUACGACCUACGGGUGAAAGCAUGGGAUCUUCGGACCUUGCCCGAUUGAAUGAGCCGAUGCCGGAUUAGCUAGUUGGCGGGGUAAAGGCCCACCAAGGCGACGAUCCGUAGCUGGUCUGAGAGGAUGAUCAGCCACACUGGAACUGAGACACGGUCCAGACUCCUACGGGAGGCAGCAGUGGGGAAUAUUGGACAAAGGGCGCAAGCCUGAUCCAGCCAUACCGCGUGGGUGAAGAAGGCCUUCGGGUUGUAAAGCCCUUUUGUUGGGAAAGAAAAGCAGCAGGUUAAUACCCCGCUGUUCUGACGGUACCCAAAGAAUAAGCACCGGCUAACUUCGUG